rnacentral:tRNA from 1 species
UGAGCGAUGCCGAAGCGGUCGAGGCCCCGGUCUGUGAAACCGGCCCCAGCGGGUUCAAGUCCCGCCGCUCAG